UUUUACUUUAAUUCUCAGUCAACACCGUUACUCAUCUCUAAAUCUACCGCCGGCGAACUCCACCUUUAAUGCACCGACCGUUUCUUUCCAUUCGCCACGUGGAAUUCCCGACCCAAACUCCACAAAAAUCUGGACCCCACACCCACCCAAUUAGGUCUCCUAUUAACUCGCUCUCACUUUCUCUCUUACCUCUCUCUCCACAAACGAUCUCAUUCGCCGUCGUUUCCUCAGGCGAAUCUAAUUUAUUCUAUUUAUUCUAUUUUUAAUUUCGAUCAUCAUCUCUGCUACAAUUCCGUUGUUUCGAUCUCGCUUAUUGUUCCCGGCGAUAUGCAUUUAUGACCAUUUGAUUCCCUCGUGAUUGGCGCCGACAUUUAUCUCUCCCGCCAGGGUGCAUUGUUGUUGCUGAAGAGCGAUUGACCGUUGUUCGAGUGGAAUUGAGCACACAGAGAGAGAGAGAGAGA
rnacentral:misc_RNA from 1 species